UACGGAAGGCAGCAGUGGGGAAUAUUGCACAAUGGGCGCAAGCCUGAUGCAGCCAUGCCGCGUGUAUGAAGAAGGCCUUCGGGUUGUAAAGUACUUUCAGUCGUGAGGAAGGUGUUAAGGUUAAUAACCUUAGUAAUUGACGUUAGCGACAGAAGAAGCACCGGCUAACUCCGUGCCAGCAGCCGCGGUAAUACGGAGGGUGCGAGCGUUAAUCGGAAUUACUGGGCGUAAAGGGCACGCAGGCGGUUAAUUAAGUUGGAUGUGAAAUCCCCGGGCUUAACCUGGGAAUGGCAUUCAAGACUGGUUAGCUAGAGUCUUGUAGAGGGGGUAGAAUUCCGAUGUGUAGCGGUGAAAUGCGUAGAGAUGUGGAGGAAUACCGGUGGCGAAGGCGGCCCCUGGACAAAGACUGACGCUCAUGUGCGAAAGCGUGGGGAGCAAACGAGGGAUUAGAUACC
rnacentral:rRNA from 1 species